GUGGGGAAUUUUGCACAAUGGGGGAAACCCUGAUGCAGCGACGCCGCGUGGAGGAUGAAGGCCUUCGGGUUGUAAACUCCUUUUGCAGGGGACAAUGAUGAUGGUACCCUGCGAAUAAGCCACGGCUAACUCUGUGCCAGCAGCCGCGGUAAGACAGAGGUGGCAAGCGUUGUUCGGAAUCACUGGGCUUAAAGGGCGCGUAGGUGGUAGUGCAAGUCUGAGGUGGAAUCCCAUGGCUUAACCAUGGAACUGCCUUGGAAACUGCAUUACUUGAGUCAGUGAGGGGAGGGUAGAAUUCCUGGUGUAGCGGUGAAAUGCGUAGAUAUCAGGAGGAAGGCCGGUGGCGAAGGCGGCCCUCUGGCGCUGAACUGACACUGAGGCGCGAAAGCGUGGGGAGCAAACAGGAUUAGAAACCCGGGUAGUCC
rnacentral:rRNA from 1 species